UACGUAGGGGGCAAGCGUUGUCCGGAAUUAUUGGGCGUAAAGAGCGUGUAGGCGGUCCGGUAAGUCAGCUGUGAAAGUCAAGGGCUCAACCCUUGAAAGCCGGUUGAUACUGUCGGGCUAGAGUCCGGAAGAGGCGAGUGGAAUUCCCGGUGUAGCGGUGAAAUGCGCAGAUAUCUGGAGGAAUACCGGUGGCGAAGGCGGCAUCCUGGACCGACAUUGACGCUGAUGAGCGAAAGCUAGGGGAGCAAACGGG
rnacentral:rRNA from 1 species